rnacentral:lncRNA from 1 species
UCAACCAUCAAUGCAGUGAUUGAGUUCUUUGGAUCAAACAAGGGGUUGCAUCUUGAGCAGAUAACAUCAGCUACAUUGACAAAGUUGGAAAAAAUUAAAGAGAGAAACAGCUGCAGCUCAACAGCAAAGAUUCAGGUUUACAGAAGACUACAAAUUUAUGUAUGGGAGAAAUAAUAAAGCGUAUAACAAGUUUGAUGUUGAAAUAAAGAGUACGAAGCUUCUUUUGUCAAGAUCAGGAGCUCUUAAUCUGCCACUCCCAGCCCAGCAGGCCCAGCCCCGAGGACGCGGCUGCUGGCGAAAACUGCACUCCUCGGCUCUGGCCCUGCACUCCUCAGUCCUCCCCCUUCGCCUGGCUGCCCGGCCACCGCCCAACUCCAGCGUGACUCAGCUGGACCUGACUCUGACCCGUGACCAGGCGCAACCAUCAGGGGCAAGGACGCGUGCCACACAGACAGGGACCCGCGAUUUCAGGCUGCGCCCUCUCUCCGGCAUCCGCACUGCCUGUGGCUUCUGCGCGCAGCUGGAGCGUCCUCACAAGUGCCCCAAGGGGUCGGACACAUGCUGCCACCAUGUUGCUGUGGCCGCCUGCUGCCGGCGCUGAUGGGAGGAGGAAGAGGAGGAGGAGAUGGCGCCCUCCUGUCCCUGCCAGCCGCCGCCACCUGCGCGUUGCGAUCCCGAUCCCGCAGGAGUCGCGGUCUGGCCCGCGCCCGCUCUGUGUGCAGCAGAGAUGACGAGGACCAUGAAGGGGAAGGGACCGGAGCCCGUGGCCCGAGCGCCUGCAGGCCGAGGCCACCGUGACUCUGGGCAGCACCUGGUGGGGACUCCCUGCGCCUGGCCGCCCACAACAGUUGAGGCAGCGGUCGCCUCCGCCUCCUACUGCUGCGCUGAGAACGCGGCAGGAGGCGCCCUGGAGCCUUCGCGGUGGGCUGUCGCCUCAACCUCGU